GAUGAACGCUGGCGGCGUGCUUAACACAUGCAAGUCGAACGAGGUUAUCAUUUUGGAUUGAAGCAGCUUGCUGCUGAUUGACAUGUUGAUGACCGAGUGGCGGACGGGUGAGUAACGCGUGGGUAACCUGCCUUGUACUGGGGGAUAACAGUUAGAAAUGACUGUUAAUACAGCAUAAGACCGCAGUAUCGCAUGAUACAGUGGUAAAAACUCCGGUGGUACAAGAUGGACCCGCGUUUGAUUAGCCAGUGGGUGAGGUAACGGCCCACCAAGGCUUCGAUCCAUAGCCGGCCUGAGAGGGCGACCGGCCACAUUGGGACUGAGACACGGCCCAAACUCCUACGGGAGGCAGCAGUGGGGAAUAUUGCACAAUGGGCGAAAGCCUGAUGCAGCGACGCCGCGUGAACGAAGAAGUAUUUCGGUAUGUAAAGUUCUAUCAGCAGGGAAGAAAAUGACGGUACCUGACUAAGAAGCCCCGGCUAAUUACGUGCCAGCCGCCGCGGUAA
rnacentral:rRNA from 1 species